rnacentral:rRNA from 1 species
CAGUCGCCACGGUAAUACGAAGGGUGCAAGCGUUAAUCGGAAUUAUUGGGCGUAAAGCGUGCGUAGGCGGUUUGUUAAGUCUGUUGUGAAACCCCCGGGCUCAACCUGGGAAUGGCAAUGGAUACUGGCAAGCUAGAGUGUGUCAGAGGAUGGUGGAAUUCCCGGUGUAGCGGUGAAAUGCGUAGAGAUCGGGAGGAACAUCAGUGGCGAAGGCGGCCAUCUGGGACAACACUGACGCUGAGGCACGAAAGCGUGGGGAGCAAACAGGAUUAGAUACCCCCGUAGUCCCUGUCUCUUAUAC